rnacentral:rRNA from 1 species
ACGAGCGGCUACGGCCGCGAAGUGGAUGAUGUCAAGCUUCCAAGAAAAGCCCUAUACCCGUUAAGGCAUGAUGGCCUGUACCCGAAACCGACACAGGUGGGGUGGUAGAGAAUACCGAGGGGCGCGAGGUAACUCUCUCUAAGGAACUCGGCAAAAUGGCCCCGUAACUUCGGGAGAAGGGGUGCCACCGCGAGGUGGUCGCAGUGAAGAGGCCCAGGCGACUGUUUACCAAAAACACAGGUCUCCGCUAAGUCGCAAGACGAUGUAUGGGGGCUGACGCCUGCCCAGUGCCGGAAGGUUAAGGAAGCUGGUCAGCGCAAGCGAAGCUGGCGACUGAAGCCCCGGUGAACGGCGGCCGUAACUAUAACGGUCCUAAGGUAGCGAAAUUCCUUGUCGGGUAAGUUCCGACCCGCACGAAAGGCGUAACGAUCUGGGCGCUGUCUCGGAGAGAGGCUCGGCGAAAUAGAAUUGUCUGUGAAGAUGCGGACUACGUGCACCCGGACAGAAAGACCCUAUGAAGCUUUACUGUAGCUUGGUAUUGUGCUCGGGCUCGGAAUGCGCAGGAUAGGUGGGAGGCUUUGAUCCAUUGCUUGCGGGUGAUGGUGAGCCACUGGUGAGAUACCACUCUUUCCGAGCUAGAGUUCUAACAGCAACCCGUUAUCCGGGUGCUGGACAGUAUCAGGUGGGCAGUUUGACUGGGGCGGUCGCCUCCUAAAAGGUAACGGAGGCGCGCAAAGGUCUGCUCAGGCUGGUUGGAAAUCAGCCGACGAGUGUAAAAGCAGAAGCAGGCUUGACUGUGAGACCUACAAGUCGAACAGGGAGGAAACUCGGCUUUAGUGAUCCGACGGUUCUGCGUGGAAGGGCCGUCGCUCAACGGAUAAAAGUUACUCUAAGGAUAACAGGCCGAUCUCCCCCAAGAGUUCACAUCGACGGGGAGGUUUGGCACCUCGAUGUCGGCUCAUCGCAACCUGGGGCUGAAGUCGGUCCCAAGGGUUGGGCUGUUCGCCCAUUAAAGCGGUACGCGAGCUGGGUUCAGAACGUCGUGAGACAGUUCGGUCCAUAUCCGGUGCACGCGCAGGAAUAUUGAGAGGAUUUCUCCCUAGUACGAGAGGACCGGGAGGAACGCACCUCUGGUGUGCCAGUUAUCGUGCCAACGGUAAACGCUGGGUAGCCAUGUGCGGAGUGGAUAACCGCUGAAAGCAUCUAAGUGGGAAGCCCACCUCAAGAUGAGUAUUCCCAUGGCAUAAGCCAGUAAGGUCACGGGAAGAACACCCGUUGAUAGGCUCUACGUGGAAGCGCAGUAAUGUGUGAAGCGGAGGAGUACUAAUAGACCGAGGGCUUGACCAU